AUGUUAUGCAGAUUCAAGUUUUUCUCUCGGUCAGGCAAAGAUAUAAUUACUUGGUAGCAGUUUCCAGGAGAAGCCUCUAGCCUCUAGAUGGUAGGGUCUCAAAAGAAAAUCAUUCUAAGUGAGGCACUAAAAGACCUUCUAUGCUGAGAGAAGUGCCAUUCGAAUGAUAUGUACAUAAUGUUGUUUCUAUAAAUGACUCCGACUUUAUUAGUUUUGAGGGACAAAACAGCUGUGCUCCUAGUGCCAUAACGUCCCUGAAUAUCAUAAGCCGGUUUGUCAAGAAAUUUUUUUAAGUCGUCUCGAAUAUAAAGACUUAAAUGAAAAAGAUGCUUACCAAUGGAGUGUCAACUUCAACAUAUAUGGAGCUUAAAUUAAAUUCCCAGUCCGGAGAACAGAUAUGGGGUAAACUGCUCUUAUCAGCUUUAACUGUGUCCUCCAUCAAUUUUUCGACCAUCUCUUUUACUGGCCUCUCGUUCACACUAAUCUCCUAAUUUCUGGGAGAUCAAAUUCGCAGUGCUACUAGCUAAUGGUCUUUUACCUUAUGCCAAGGUGAGUCAAGUUUCGCAUUGGACAGCACAUGAAUUCCAGGGGAAACCUCUUGAAUGGUUAUGGGUUCUCCUUGUGGACGGU